GCUUAUGGCCAUACCACCUUAGGCACGCCCGAUCUCGUCUGAUCUCGGAAGCUAAGCAGGGUCGGGCCUGGUUAGGGCUUGGAUGGGUGACCGCCUGGGAAUACCAGGUGCUGUAAGCA
ensembl:rRNA 5S_rRNA 5S ribosomal RNA